AUGCUAGCUUACCGGCUUCAACUUCCUCCAGACAGCCGCAUCCACCCAGUGUUUCAUGUGUCCCAGUUGAAGCCUUUCGUUCCUGACUAUACACCGGUCUUUGCUGAGCUUCCUAAGGUACCAGAUCUUGCAGCUACGAGACAACCACUAGCAAUUUUGGACCGCCGCAUGAUGAAGAAAGGAGACGCGCCGGUCGUCCAGCUACAGAUUCAGUGAGAGAACAUGCCAGCCUCAGCAGCAACCUGGGAAGAUUACUCGGUGCUUCGCCAACGUUUUUCAGACGCCAGCAUUUGGGCAGAUGCAACCUCUCAAGGGGGGGGACAAUGUCGCGCCUGCAUAUGCCUAGAACCAGCAUAUGUAGCGGACUGA
rnacentral:rRNA from 1 species